rnacentral:rRNA from 1 species
CCUACGGGAGGCAGCAGUGGGGAAUAUUGGACAAUGGGGGCAACCCUGAUCCAGCCAUGCCGCGUGUGUGAAGAAGGCCCUCGGGUUGUAAAGCACUUUCAGUGAGGAAGAACGCCUGGUGGUUAAGACCCAUCAGGAAAGACAUCACUCACAGAAGAAGCACCGGCUAACUCCGUGCCAGCAGCCGCGGUAAUACGGAGGGUGCGAGCGUUAAUCGGAAUUACUGGGCGUAAAGCGCGCGUAGGUGGCUUGAUAAGCCGGUUGUGAAAGCCCCGGGCUCAACCUGGGAACGGCAUCCGGAACUGUCAAGCUAGAGUGCAGGAGAGGAAGGUAGAAUUCCCGGUGUAGCGGUGAAAUGCGUAGAGAUCGGGAGGAAUACCAGUGGCGAAGGCGGCCUUCUGGACUGACACUGACACUGAGGUGCGAAAGCGUGGGUAGCAAACAGGAUUAGAUACCCCAGUAGUC